AUUGAACGCUGGCGGCAUGCUUUACACAUGCAAGUCGAACGGCAGCGCGGGCUUCGGCCUGGCGGCGAGUGGCGAACGGGUGAGUAAUGCAUUGGAACGUGCCCAGUAGUGGGGGAUAGCCCGGCGAAAGCCGGAUUAAUACCGCAUACGACCUGAGGGGGAAAGCGGGGGACCGAAAGGCCUCGCGCUAUUGGAGCGGCCGAUGUCGGAUUAGCUAGUUGGUGGGGUAAAGGCUUACCAAGGCGACGAUCCGUAGCUGGUCUGAGAGGACGACCAGCCACACUGGGACUGAGACACGGCCCAGACUCCUACGGGAGGCAGCAGUGGGGAAUUUUGGACAAUGGGGGCAACCCUGAUCCAGCCAUGCCGCGUGCGGGAAGAAGGCCUUCGGGUUGUAAACCGCUUUUGUUCGGGAAGAAAUCCUCUGGGCCAAUACCCCGGGGGGAUGACGGUACCGGAAGAAUAAGCACCGGCUAACUACGUG
rnacentral:rRNA from 1 species